CGGAGGAUCCAAGCGUUAUCCGGAAUCAUUGGGUUUAAAGGGUCCGUAGGCGGUUUUAUAAGUCAGUGGUGAAAUCUGGUCGCUCAACGAUCAAACGGCCAUUGAUACUGUAGAACUUGAAUUACUUGGAAGUAACUAGAAUAUGUAGUGUAGCGGUGAAAUGCUUAGAGAUUACAUGGAAUACCAAUUGCGAAGGCAGGUUACUACAAGUGGAUUGACGUUGAUGGACGAAAGCGUGGGGAGCGAACAGGAUUAGAUACCCUGGUAGUCCACGCCGUAAACGAUGGAUACUAGCUGUUCGGAGCAAUCUGAGUGGCUAAGCGAAAGUGAUAAGUAUCCCACCUGGGGAGUACGAACGCAAGUUUG
rnacentral:rRNA from 1 species